CGCACCGCGCCUCGGAGCCCACCCGGCGUCCCCGGUGACCUCAGACGCGUCCGCGGCUGGCCUGCCCAUUGUGGACGACCGGCCUGGGGCUUGGAGGCGGCGAACCUGAGGAGAUGCCAGCCUUCCACACCAGGUGGUAAAGUGGAGACUCGGUAUUUGGGGCAAGCGGGGCUGGGGAGGGCUCUACCGUGAGUAAAGGGAAAAAGAGAGGCGACUGCACCGGGUCUCCCCACACUUCUCCGGUUCUUGGCAGUUUAAGAUCACACUCAGGAUUGCCCUGCGCCCCUCCCUGCUUUCCAAAUGGUGGAAUUUCUGCCCUGGAGCUGGAAAGUGACAAACCCAAGACGCAGCUAGCGCCUUGGCCCCGAGAUCCCUCUCACCCACAAGAUCUGAAAGCUGACCACAGAAAUCAGAAGGCGGUCCGAAUGAGCGCCACGUUGAGGACCAGGAUGAGGCUGUGCGACUGGGGCUAAGAUGCCGACCGGGCGGCAGCAUCCCGAAGUGGCCCGGGCACCCUGGCUGUGCAGCAGCCUGCGCCGCGCACUCCUGCCCGGGGUGGCACUGUGGAGCCCCGUCGGGCGCUGCCCACCAGGGGGCGACUGAGAGUAGAGCGCCUAGCAGUGCAAAGCUAGGCAAGUCCUGAGGUCUGGGAUCACGAGGACUAAUGGCCCGCCAUCGUGAUGGCAUUUUAAUCCACUUGGAACCACUUGCCUCGAGAAUCCAUGGCAUUGCGAGUGACUAUGUGGGUGCCAGCCGGCCUUCCCUUAGUAUGCUUCGCAGGUUCAUCCAUGCUUGAGGUGCAUCAACAGUGGAUGGUAGUACAUGUUAGGAUAUGCCACAAAUCUCCCCCCCCCCCCCCCGUUCAUUCUGAUACACAACUUGGUUCUUUCCAGGAUUGGGCUAUUACAAAUAUAAUUGCUGAAAAAUUAAUGUUCAAGGCUUUAUGUGAAUAUACGCUUUCAUCAAUUUUGGGUCAAUGCAUAGAAAUAAAAUAACUGGAUCAAA